GGGCCUUAGCUCAGUGGUAGAGCACCUGCUUUGCACACAGAAAGUUGCAGGUUCAAUUCCCAGCAUCUCCA